CUACAUCAGCUUGCUGUGGAGCCGUGAGACCUCCCACCCACAGCGCUGGGAGUGUAAAAAAAAAAAAAGAAUUUAAACAUCUCACCCAGUCUUACGAACUCACGUGGCAUGAUCUCUAUUUUAUCUUCUCUCCUGCCCUCCUUCUGGAAGAGAAGGAAAGAGUGUAGCUCACAGCCCAGGCACAUGCCGACGAUCUUCAUUGGCGAGACCCUACUAAGCCCGUCGGAGCCGCUGGCGUCACCUGGGAAGAGCCUUCCUGGGAGCACCAACCCACAGACCCCGUAACCACAUGAUUACUCACCUUACUGCAGGCCUUAACAAGGCUGCCCAUACGGAGGUAAAUUUCGAAAAACUUUAAGAAAUUUCCCAAAAGGCAGAUGAAAAUCAUGCCCAAUUCCUUUCCCACCUUACAGAGGCUCUCCAAAAACAUACUCGUGUCAACCCUGCUUCCCAAGAAGGAACUAUUGUUCUUUUUCUUUACUUUUCUUUUUGUUGAGACAGAGUUUCUCUCCGUCACCAGGCACCAGGCUGGAGUGCAGUGGCGCAAUCUCGGCUCGGCUCACUGCCGCCUCCGCCUCCCGGGUUCAAGCAAUUCUCCUGCCUCAGCUUCCCGAGUAGCUGGGACUACAGAGAGGCCUCUGGAAGUCUGACUACAGAUGGACAGAAAAGCCUGCACCUCAGAGCCACCACCCACUCAGCAAGAUGGAAAGUGAAGACUGGCACUCCCGCAGCUGCUCGGCCUAGCCCCCAGCCGCAUCUGCCAUCUCAGCAUCGGAGCCCAGGGUAACUCUCCCAGCAGCAGCUCCUUUGGCUGCCCUGCAGCCCCGCAGCCCCCCUUCCUAUCACCCCAACCAAAGCUCUACAAAGCCCUGAGCUUAACCCAUUCACCACUGAAUCGAUCCAACCCGACCCAGCAAGGGACUGCUGGCUGUGCCUCUCCCUGUCAGCUCUGCAUAAACUGCCGCUCCUGCCCCUGCAGAAACCUGGGUUUCUACCAAGUUAACCCAUCACCCCCAAUAUGAAGGUCUACCUCUGGGCACCUACUGCCCCAUCAUGCAACUCCACCGUACAGCUUCAGGCCCCAGCCGACUAUCAGAACUUUUGUCUCCCGAGCCGCUCCAUGUAGGCGGGCUGUCCGCUUUUCAGGACCCCCGACGACGAUCAGGAUUCUGCCAUGCACAGCAGGCUCCGCUGCCUGACUCCACACCCAUGGAGCCCUUGCUGCGCGGCCCCCACCCUGAAGAGCGCCUCCUGAUACCCACAUGCAACCACUCUUCUGGAUGGAUCCUGGUAGAUACAAAACGAUUCUUUCUUCAGCGGGAAAACAAAACACAGGGAGCCACUCGACUUUCCCCAUUCCCCCCUUUUCAGCCGCCCAGGGGGCUGCCCUAGCUGGUACCCCAGGAGCGUGGGAGAGUGACAAGAAACUCACACACCUUUUUAACAACCACAGCCAGUUCUGUGUGCCCGCCAAGGCAUGGUUUUCAUGUGUGGGGCCUCGGCUUACCUCUGCCCGAUGCUGGUUGGACUGGCACCUGCACCCUCAUCUUUCUAAGCACCAAAACAGACAUUGCUCCAGGGAACCAAACCUACCAGUUCCCGGCAAAGCUAGCGCCAAGCCCUGCGGCCAAUGCCCCUGCUCAUAGGACUUGGAAUUCCUGCAGCCACAGGAGCAGGGAUGGCAGUGCUGUCCACUUCCCUGUCCCGCUCUCACACCCUCUCCAGAGACCUGCCAGCCAGAGCAGAAUCCACUCUUACUCUUCAGUCCCAAACAGACUCUCUAGCAGCAGUUACACUCCCACACCGUCGGGGUUCAGACCUGCUCACUGCGGAGAAAGGAGGACUGUGCACCUUUUUAGGGGAAGAAUGCUGUUUCCACACUAACCAGUCGGGACUAGUACGGAUGCCACUCGACAGUUAAAUGACAAAGCUUCUGAAACCAGGCAGCGCCUCUGACUCCUGGGCUAAUCUUUGGAGCUGGGCACCCGGGCUCCUCCCACUCGCUGGACCUCUUGUUUCUAUUCUUCUCCUUCAAGCAGUUGCCCCUGCCUCUUAGGACUUCUCACCCAGUCCUUACAGGACCGUGUUAAAGCUUUCACCCAUGGAACAAUACAAGAUACGACGCAGCUUCAAGAAUAUCAACAGUUUCAGGAACGACAGUCCCUGCGAUCUGGCCCCAGUCCCAUACGUCGCCCCUAUCCAGCAAGAAGCAGCCAGUUGACACUGGCACUCCUGCUCUAUUACCUAUCAAGAGGCUGGAGUGUCAGGGACCAGCUGUGCUGUCUCAGAAAGCCCCCUCCUGGCAGGCUGACCCCCAUUCCCCUCUGAUGGCUCUGCAGCUGCACUCCUGAACCCCUACCUAGGUGCCACAUCAAGGCUGCCAGACCUGUGGCCAUUAAGCAAAGCCUGAUUACAGCUGUCCGGACAGCUCGAGGGAGGACAGGGAAAACAUGUUGGUUAUCCAUACUUGUGAUUCCUGUUUGACACAUAUCUGUAAAAGGUCCUGGUUUCUGACUUUUUUCUAAAGAGACUGCCGCCGCAGAAGUCACAGGGUGGUGCACUGUAGAUCUGUUCCAAGUUAAGGAACUGUCUCUGUGCCCGUUACCAGCGGAUAGAUUGCCUCAGUGCUAAGACCCCGUAUGCCCCUCUCACCCCAUAUACACCACUUGUUUUAUAAGCUCAGGGCUGCCUCCUCUAAUUGUUACGGCGCGGCCCGCAGGUUAAUAAACUUGCUUGCCUGACUUUGGGUCUGUUCUCCUUUCUCUAGGCUACCCUUACACCAUCAGUCACUUGUUUUCUUUUUUUUUGAGAUGGAAUCUUGUCAUCCAGGCUGGAGUGCAGUGGGGUGAUCUCGGCUAGUUGCAAACUCCGCCUCCUGGGUUCAGGUAAUUCUCCUGUCUCAGCCUCCUGAAUAGCUGGGAUUACAGACGCACGUCACCACGCCCAGCUGACUUUUGUAUUCUUAGGAGAGACAGGGUUUCACCCUGUUGGGCAGGCUGGUCUUGAACUCCUGACCUCAGGUGAUCCACCUGCCUCAGCCACCCAAAAUGUUGGGAUUACAGGCGUGAGUCACCGUGCCCAGCCAACAUGCACUUUUUAUUUUAUUUUAUUUUUAUUUAUUUAUUUAUUAAAGAUGGGGUUUCACCAUCAUGGCCAGGCUGGUCUUGAACUCCUGACCUCAGGUGAUCCACCCACCUCAGCCUCCCAAAGUGCUAGGAUUACAGGCAUGAGCCACAGCACCCAGCUUUUUAAUUUUUUUAUUAAGAUGGGGAAUGUAAGGGUUAUUUCUCUUGUAAGGUUGAUUGCUGAGUUUAAAAUGAGGAAACUGAGGCCAGCACAAGAAAAGUAAACGCCAAUUCAUUUAACUCCCAGAUGAGGUUCUGUGGUCCAGGGAAAGGGGCCAGAGAAGUCACGCCUGACUCCUCUGGGGCGUGGGGUUCUAUAGGGAGGGAAGGCGUUCUGAUUGGCUGUGGAGAAACAGGACGUGGACGGGGCAAGCUGCUAUUGGUAGGUAGGCGGGAUUUCCAGUGAGCGGGCUGUGCUAUUGGGCAGGUUUUGGCGGGGCUUCUUUUAAAUAUUGGCGGGGUUUUCCAACGGGGUCCUAAGUGCCCAGUGCAGAGUUUAGUGUUGAGUGCAGGCUCUGGUGCGGAGUGCAGAUUCUGGUGACUUAAUUUUCAGGUAUGGAGAGGGAUGGGCGUGUCCGAGCUCCUGGCGAGGCAACUGGCCUUACAGGGAACAUCCACUUUUAAGAAGCUCACAGUGGGGUAAGGAGUGCAGGAAUCAUCAACUAUGAUGAAUAAUCCUUGAAAAUGUGGUUAAGAAUUAAAUAACAUCAUGAGCGUAGGGUUCUUUUCUGGGUGAUUAAAAUAUCCUAAAAUUGAUUGCGGUGAUGGUUGCAUAAUCUGUGAAUAUACUAAAAACCACUGAUUUAUAAUUAUACACUUUAAUGGGUGGAGCUGUAUACGGUGGAGAGGGUUAGACUAUUGCUUGAGUCCAGGAGUUCAAGGCUGCUGUGAGCUAUGAUGGUACCACAGCGCUCCAGCCUGGGGAACACAGGUACCUCAUCCCCAGCAAAAGAAAAAAAAAAGAGUGGGCCUGGCGCGGUGGCUCACGCCUGUAAUCCCAGCACUUUGGGAGGCCGAGGCGGGUGGAUCACGAGGUCAAGAGAUCGAGACCAUCCUGGUCAACAUGGUGAAACCCCGUCUCUACUAAAAAUACAAAAAAUUAGCUGGGCACGGUGGCGCGUGCCUGUAAUCCCAGCUACUCAGGAGGCUGAGGCAGGAGAAUUGCCUGAACCCAGGAGGCGGAGGUUGCGGUGAGCCGAGAUCGCGCCAUUGCACUCCAGCCUGGGUAACAAGAGUGAAACUCCGUCUCAAAAAAAAAAAAAAAAAAA